GGCUCUGUAGUGAAGUUCAUAGUGAGUUGCAAGCUCAUUGAUGUGUACUGAUUGUACGCCGGAGUCU
rnacentral:tRNA from 1 species